rnacentral:misc_RNA from 1 species
GAUGAAGAACGCAGCGAAAUGCGAUAAGUAGUGUGAAUUGCAGAAUUCAGUGAAUCAUCGAAUCUUUGAACGCACAUUGCGCCCCUUGGUAUUCCAUGGGGCAUGCCUGUUCGAGCGUCAUUUACACCCUCAAGCUCUGCUUGGUGUUGGGCGUCUGUCCCGCUGCUUUGCGCGGACUCGCCUCAAAGGUAUUGGCAGCGAUCAUGCCAGCUUCUCGCGCAGCACAUUGCGCUUCUUGAAGUUCUGGUGGAUCAGCGUCCAUUAAGCUUACCUUCACGACUUGACCUCGGAUCAGGUAGGGAUACCCGCUGAACUUAAGCAUAUCAAUAAGCGGAGGA